GAGCCAUUAGCUCAGUCGGUAGAGCACCUGACUUUUAAUCAGGGUGUCCCCGGUUCGAGUCCGGGAUGGCUCA
rnacentral:tRNA from 1 species